CAAUAGCGUAUAUUAAAGUUGUUGCAGUUAAAAAGCUCGUAGUCGAACUUCGGGCCUGGCCGGGCGGUCUGCCUAACGGUAUGUACUGUCUGGCCGGGCCUUACCUCUUGGUGAGCCGGCAUGCCCUUCACUGGGUGUGUCGGUGAACCAGGACUUUUACCUUGAGAAAAUUAGAGUGUUCAAAGCAGGCCUAUGCCCGAAUACAUUAGCAUGGAAUAAUAAAAUAGGACGUGUGGUUCUAUUUUGUUGGUUUCUAGAGUCACCGUAAUGAUUAAUAGGGAUAGUUGGGGGCAUUAGUAUUCAGUUGCUAGAGGUGAAAUUCUUGGAUUUACUGAAGACUAACUUCUGCGAAAGCAUUUGCCAAGGAUGUUUNCAUUGA
rnacentral:rRNA from 1 species